rnacentral:rRNA from 1 species
AUUGAACGCUGGCGGCAGGCCUAACACAUGCAAGUCGAACGAGUGGCGGACGGGUGAGUAAUGUCUGGGAAACUGCCUGAUGGAGGGGGAUAACUACUGGAAACGGUAGCUAAUACCGCAUACCAUCGGAUGUGCCCAGUUGGGAUUAGCUAGUAGGUGGGGUAAAGGCUCACCUGGGCGACGAUCCCUAGCUGGUCUGAGAGGAUGACCGGCCACACUGGAACUGAGACACGGUCCAGACCCCUAGGGGGGGCAGAGUGGGGGAAUAUUGCACAAUGGGCGAAAGCCGGAGGAAGCCAUGCCGCGUGUAUGAAGAAGGCCUUCGGGUUGUAAAGUACUUUCAGCGGGGAGGCGUUACCCGAAGAGGAAGAACCGGCUAACUCCGUGCCAGCCGCCGCGGUAUUC